AUUGAACGCUGGCGGCAGGCCUAACACAUGCAAGUCGAACGAGUGGCGGACGGGUGAGUAAUGUCUGGGAAACUGCCCGAUGGAGGGGGAUAACUACUGGAAACGGUAGCUAAUACCGCAUACCAUCGGAUGUGCCCAGAAGGGAUUAGCUUGUAGGUGAGGUAACGGCUCACCUAGGCGACGAUCCCUAGCCGGUCUGAGAGGAUGACCAGCCCAACUGGGACUGAGGCACGGGCCCAGCUCCUACGGGGGGCAGCAGUGGGGGAUAUUGCACAAUGGGCGGAAGCCUGAUGCAGCCAUGGCGCGUGUAUGAAAAAGGCCUUCGGGUUUUAAAAGACUUUCAGCCGGGAGGCGUUACCCGCAGAAGAAGCACCGGCUAACUCCGUGCCAGCAGCCGCGGUAAUAC
rnacentral:rRNA from 1 species